rnacentral:rRNA from 1 species
UACGUAGGGUGCGAACGUUAAUCGGAAUUACUGGGCGUAAAGCGUGCGCAGGCGGUUUUGUAAGCCAGAUGUGAAAGCCCCGGGCUUAACCUGGGAAUGGCAUUUGGGACUGCAAGGCUGGAGUGUGGCAGAGGAGACUGGAAUUCCUGGUGUAGCAGUGAAAUGCGUAGAUAUCAGGAGGAACACCAGUGGCGAAGGCGACUUUCUGGUCUGUAACUGACACUGAGGCGCGAAAACGUGGGGAGCAAACAGG